GACAAGAAGGCCUCUGAACAUGGGUCUGAGAUGGAUACUUUGACUGGGGCUGGCUCUCCGGGACAGCCCCUGCUUCGCCGGGUGGCCCGGAUGACCCCAUUCUGGAGAUCGCUGGGCUUCAAACCUUCCCAGGCUCAUUGCCUGCGGGACCUGGAAUGCAUCAGCAAAUACUGCAGGAAUGGCUAUUGCUCAAAGCCCCCCUGGAGUCCUGAAGCCUUGGAAGCUGGGGCUGCCUGAUCACCGAGCCACCAGAAGUCACCUGAGCCCCCACCUUCCCCCAACUUCAUUUGUGGGCUCAAAACCCCUUCUCCUUGCUUUAUUCCUCUUUGGUUUGCUUCACUGGAUGAGACGCGCCUUUUCCCAAGCUUUGGGGACAAGGAGGCAGUUACGCCCAUUAACUUGGCCCCUGCUUCGCAUUUCGAGAGGCCCAAUAGCAAAAAUUCCUUUCCCCGUAGGGCUCUGUCCUGAAGUAGUCAGCUUCCGGCCAUUGGGGUACAAAGCCAUAACUAGGCUGUGGCAACCAGGCCUUUGUCCUGGGAUGCCCAAAUUGAGAGGGUGACGACAGCCCUUCCUCUCCUUUGGUAGCAUAGAAACAAUUGACCUUAGCACCUAAUUAAUGAGAAUAAUUAGUCAGUGCCUCCCCUCACUAGUUGUAUGCACCCAAGAUCAUUCUCCUACUCCACCUCAACAACCCACAGUGAUCUCCUCAGAAGCAGCUGCAGGAAGUCCAAGACCUUAGGGCAGGAGGCUUGGUUUCCCCAUUUUGGUGUGAUGCCCCCACCCCCACCCGCCUUGUGCCCCAGCAUCUCUCCCUCCAGCCAAUGAAUUUGUCUCAAAAGGUUGACUUGAAGUACUGCUCCGUGCUACUUGCCUCAGUUAGGACAGAGCCCAGGGGCCUGGGGAGGAAGUUGCUGCCUUGUGCAAACUGCUGACUCUGGACACCUCCAGAGAGUUCAGUCUGGGAGAGCGUAGGUGGGCCCCGGCGCAUACGGGCUGACGACUGGAGAGUGACGGAGGAGGGCGGGAUCGGGGGGGGGAGGGCACCCAAAAAGAAGAUCUGAGGUUCACAGACCUCAGCUGCCCAUCACUUGGCCCUUCCUUCCAUGGCCCCCAUUCCCACGUCUGUGUAGAACUUCCUGGCCCUUCAGGGUGGUCCGGGAUGGGUACUGGAAAUGGUUGGGGAAGCAUGAGAUUUUCCAGCUCACGCCAUUUUGGGGGUGGCUCCGGACCCCAAUGCCCGAAGCGAUUGGCCAGAUGCUCGCACUAUACUGACCACCUCUGAGAUCAUCCCACGCCACAAGAGGAAGAGUCCGAGUCUCCCUCGGAGGCUUCCAGCAGCCUGGAUUGGCCCUAGCCAAAGCUGUACCCCCUCUCUUCCUUCCCCACAAACUCCUGUUGGGUGAAGGCCUUCUGACCUUAAACAUGACCUCAGGCUCAUCUGCAAAUGUGCUCAGGUGGGAGGAUGAGAAUAAAGUCUGCCACGCACUUUA